rnacentral:rRNA from 1 species
GGGACACGUGGUAUCCUGUCUGAAUAUGGGGGGACCAUCCUCCAAGGCUAAAUACUCCUGACUGACCGAUAGUGAACCAGUACCGUGAGGGAAAGGCGAAAAGAACCCCGGCGAGGGGAGUGAAAAAGAACCUGAAACCGUGUACGUACAAGCAGUGGGAGCACCUUCGGGUGUGACUGCGUACCUUUUGUAUAAUGGGUCAGCGACUUAUAUUCUGUAGCAAGGUUAACCGUAUAGGGGAGCCGCAGGGAAACCGAGUCUUAACUGGGCGUUAAGUUGCAGGGUAUAGACCCGAAACCCGGUGAUCUAGCCAUGGGCAGGUUGAAGGUUGGGUAACACUAACUGGAGGACCGAACCGACUAAUGUUGAAAAAUUAGCGGAUGACUUGUGGCUGGGGGUGAAAGGCCAAUCAAACCGGGAGAUAGCUGGUUCUCCCCGAAAGCUAUUUAGGUAGCGCCUCGUGAACUCAUCUUCGGGGGUAGAGCACUGUUUCGGCUAGGGGGUCAUCCCGACUUACCAACCCGAUGCAAACUACGAAUACCGAAGAAUGUUAUCACGGGAGACACACGGCGGGUGCUAACGUCCGUCGUGAAGAGGGAAACAACCCAGACCGCCAGCUAAGGUCCCAAAGUCAUGGUUAAGUGGGAAACGAUGUGGGAAGGCACAGACAGCCAGGAUGUUGGCUUAGAAGCAGCCAUCAUUUAAAGAAAGCGUAAUAGCUCACUGGUCGAGUCGGCCUGCGCGGAAGAUGUAACGGGGCUAAACCAUGCACCGAAGCUGCGGCAGCGACACUAUGUGUUGUUGGGUAGGGGAGCGUUCUGUAAGCCUGCGAAGGUGUGCUGUGAGGCAUGCUGGAGGUAUCAGAAGUGCGAAUGCUGACAUAAGUAACGAUAAAGCGGGUGAAAAGCCCGCUCGCCGGAAGACCAAGGGUUCCUGUCCAACGUUAAUCGGGGCAGGGUGAGUCGACCCCUAAGGCGAGGCCGAAAGGCGUAGUCGAUGGGAAACAGGUUAAUAUUCCUGUACUUGGUGUUACUGCGAAGGGGGGACGGAGAAGGCUAUGUUAGCCGGGCGACGGUUGUCCCGGUUUAAGCAUGUAGGCUGAUUGUCCAGGCAAAUCCGGAUAAUCAAGGCUGAGGUGUGAUGACGAGGCACUACGGUGCUGAAGUAACAAAUGCCCUGCUUCCAGGAAAAGCCUCUAAGCAUCAGGUAACAU